rnacentral:rRNA from 1 species
CAACCCCUAUUGUUAGUUGCCAUCAUUCAGUUGGGCACUCUAGCGAGACUGCCGGUAAUAAACCGGAGGAAGUGGGGAUGACGUCAAAUCAUCAUGCCCCUUAUGACCUGGGCUACACACGUGCUACAAUGGUUGGUACAACGAGUUGCGAGUCGGUGACGGCGAGCUAAUCUCUUAAAGCCAAUCUCAGUUCGGAUUGUAGGCUGCAACUCGCCUACAUGAAGUCGGAAUCGCUAGUAAUCGCGGAUCAGCACGCCGCGGUGAAUACGUUCCCGGGCCUU